rnacentral:lncRNA from 1 species
AAUGGUCAGAGAAUGAAACACUUGUAACCAAAAUUAAAGCAAAUAAGAGGGGACUUAGAGAAGAACCAAGAAGAACAUACAAACAAGAAAAUAGUACAAACAUAAACGUAUAAGUCUAGGGUUUCAUCAGACUUAAGCAAAAUGUUUAGAAGAAUCACGAAUAGUACUCAAAGAUCAGAAAGUAAAAUGAUUUCGAAAGGGGGGUGAG